rnacentral:rRNA from 1 species
GAUGAACGCUAGCGGCAGGCUUAACACAUGCAAGUCGAGGGGUAUAGUUCUUCGGAGCUAGAGACCGGCGCACGGGUGCGUAACGCGUAUGCAAUCUACCUUUUGCAGAGGGAUAGCCCAGAGAAAUUUGGAUUAAUACCUCAUGGUAUGUGAGAAUGGCAUCAUUUUCACAUUAAAGUCACAACGGCAAAAGAUGAGCAUGCGUCCCAUUAGCUAGUUGGUAAGGUAACGGCUUACCAAGGCAACGAUGGGUAGGGGUCCUGAGAGGGAGAUCCCCCACACUGGUACUGAGACACGGACCAGACUCCUACGGGAGGCAGCAGUGAGGAAUAUUGGACAAUGGGCGCAAGCCUGAUCCAGCCAUGCCGCGUGCAGGAUGACGGUCCUAUGGAUUGUAAACUGCUUUUGUACAGGAAGAAACACUGGUUCGUGAACCAGCUUGACGGUACUGUAAGAAUAAGGAUCGGCUAACUCCGUGCCAGCAGCCGCCGUAAAAC